rnacentral:rRNA from 1 species
UUACCUGAUUCUUCGGAUGAAGGUCUGGUGACUGAGUGGCGGACGGGUGAGUAACGCGUGGGUAACCUGCCUCAUACAGGGGGAUAACAGUUGGAAACGGCUGCUAAUACCGCAUAAGCGCACGAGAGGACAUCCUCUUGUGUGAAAAACUCCGGUGGUACAGGAUGGGCCCGCGUCUGAUUAGGUAGUUGGCGGGGUAACGGCCCACCAAGCCGACGAUCAGUAGCCGACCUGAGAGGGUGACCGGCCAGAUUGGGACUGAGACACGGCCCAGACUCC